UACAUGGGGUGCAAACGUUGCUCGGAAUUACUGGGCUUGAAGCGCACGUAGGCGGCGUUGUAAGUGUCGGGUGAAAUCCCACGGCUCACCCGUGGAACUGCCCGGCAUACUGCGAUGCUAGAGUGUGGUAGGGGAGAGCGGAACUCCUGGUGGAGCGGUGAAAUGCGUAGAUAUCAGGAGGAACACCGGUGGCGAAGGCGGCUCUCUGGUCCACAACUGACGCUGAGGUGCGAAAGCUAGGGGAGCAAACGGG
rnacentral:rRNA from 1 species